rnacentral:rRNA from 1 species
UACGACUACAUAUCAGGCAUAUCAAUAAGCGGAGGAAAAGAAACUAACAAGGAUUCCCUUAGUAACGGCGAGUGAAGCGGGAAGAGCUCAAAUUUGAAAUCUUCAAGGGUUCUACCUUUACGAAUUGUAGUUUAAAGAAGUGUUUUCUGUUGGAAGUUUCGGUAAAAGUUCUUUGGAAUAGGACAUCAUAGAGGGUGAGAAUCCCGUAUUUGGUUAUUCAUUCUAGCUGUGUGAUACACUUUCAAAGGGUCGGAUUGUUUGGGAAUGCAGUCCAAGAUGGGUGGUAAAUUUCAUCUAAAGCUAAAUAUUGGCGAGAGACCGAUAGCGAACAAGUACCGUGAGGGAAAGAUGAAAAGAACUUUGAAAAGAGAGUUAAACAGUACGUGAAAUUGUCAAAAGGGAAGCGUUUGACACCAGUGUUGUUUUUCUCGAAAAAUCAAUUACAAAAUGGCUUGAUUUUGUGUUGUAUUGACCUUAUCAGCUUUCUGCACUUUUUUCGAGUCUUUCUUAAUGCACUUUUUGGUUAACAAGUCAACAUCAAUUUCUUUUGUUGUAAAAGAGUAUUCGGAAGGUGGCUUUCUUUUCGGAGAAAGUGUUUAUAGCCCUAUACUUCUACAAUCGGAGAGAUUGAGGUCUGCAGCGUAGAUCCUUCGGGGUUAGAUACAUUUGUGCUAAGUUGUAGCUUUUCAUAGACAACUUGUUGACUAUGUUUAGUCAUGCGGCUUACUCGCUUAUGCUAUUUUACCUACGCUUAGGAUGUUGAGUAGCGACAUACGCAC